rnacentral:sRNA from 1 species
CCUGCGGAGGGAUCAUUACCGAGUUUACAACUCCCAAACCCCUGUGAACAUACCACUUGUUGCCUCGGCGGAUCAGCCCGCUCCCGGUAAAACGGGACGGCCCGCCAGAGGACCCCUAAACUCUGUUUCUAUAUGUAACUUCUGAGUAAAACCAUAAAUAAAUCAAAACUUUCAACAACGGAUCUCUUGGUUCUGGCAUCGAUGAAGAACGCAGCAAAAUGCGAUAAGUAAUGUGAAUUGCAGAAUUCAGUGAAUCAUCGAAUCUUUGAACGCACAUUGCGCCCGCCAGUAUUCUGGCGGGCAUGCCUGUUCGAGCGUCAUUUCAACCCUCAAGCACAGCUUGGUGUUGGGACUCGCGUUAAUUCGCGUUCCCCAAAUUGAUUGGCGGUCACGUCGAGCUUCCAUAGCGUAGUAGUAAAACCCUCGUUACUGGUAAUCGUCGCGGCCACGCCGUUAAACCCCAACUUCUGAAUGU